GAUGAACGCUGGCGGCGCGCUUAACACAUGCAAGUCGAACGGAAAGGCCUCUGCUUGCAGGGGUACUCGAGUGGCGAACGGGUGAGUAACACGUGGGUGAUCUGCCCUGCACUUCGGGAUAAGCCUGGGAAACUGGGUCUAAUACCGGAUAGGACAAUGGUUUGGAUGCUGUUGUGGAAAGUUUUUCGGUGUGGGAUGAGCUCGCGGCCUAUCAGCUUGUUGGUGGGGUAAUGGCCUACCAAGGCGUCGACGGGUAGCCGGCCUGAGAGGGUGUACGGCCACAUUGGGACUGAGAUACGGCCCAGACUCCUACGGGAGGCAGCAGUGGGGAAUAUUGCACAAUGGGCGCAAGCCUGAUGCAGCGACGCCGCGUGGGGGAUGACGGCCUUCGGGUUGUAAACUCCUUUCGCUAGGGACGAAGCGUUUUUGUGACGGUACCUGGAGAAGAAGCACCGGCUAACUACGUG
rnacentral:rRNA from 1 species